ensembl:rRNA nuclear encoded rRNA 5S 67
GUCUACAGCCACACCAUCCUGAACACCUGAGAUCUGAUCUCAGAAGCUAAGCAGAGCCAGGACUGGUUCGUACUUGGAUGGGAGACCACCUGGAAAUAGUGAGUGGUGUAGGCU